rnacentral:rRNA from 1 species
UACGUAGGGUGCAAGCGUUGUCCGGAAUUAUUGGGCGUAAAGAGCUCGUAGGCGGUUUGUCGCGUCUGCUGUGAAAUCCCGAGGCUCAACCUCGGGCCUGCAGUGGGUACGGGCAGACUAGAGUGCGGUAGGGGAGAAUGGAAUUCCUGGUGUAGCGGUGGAAUGCGCAGAUAGCAGGAGGAACACCGAUGGCGAAGGCAGUUCUCUGGGCCGUAACUGACGCUGAGGAGCGAAAGCGUGGGGAGCGAACAGG